UAGACAGACAUGUACAACUUAUAAUCAGUCCAUACUCUUAUAGUGAGCAUUGCUAAUAUAACCUGAGAAACAGAUCAAACCACAAAACCUUAACAUUGGCCAUAGAACCCUAAAACAGGUCAAGGUCCCUAUGAGACAGACACCUUACAAUUGUUCCAUACACUUAAUAUAAUUCAUCUUUUGCUUACAUCUUGGAAAUAGAUCAAACAACAAAAACUUAUAUUUGACCAAUGAACCAUGGAAAUGAGGUUACGGUCAGAUAAAACCUGCCAUACACUGAGGCAGCCCAGUACACAUGAAAAUCAUUCCAUACACCAAAUAUAAUUGACCUGUUGGUUAUAGCAUGUGAACUUAAACAAGGAACUU
rnacentral:lncRNA from 1 species